rnacentral:rRNA from 1 species
AUUGAACGCUGGCGGCAGGCCUAACACAUGCAAGUCGAACGAGUGGCGGACGGGUGAGUCAUGUCUGGGAAACUGCCCGAUGGAGGGGGAUAACUACUGGAAACGGUAGCUAAUACCGCAUACCAUCGGAUGUGCCCAGAUGGGAUUUGCUAGUAGGUGGGGUAACGGCCCACCUAGGCGACGACCCCUAGCUGGUCUGGGAGGAUGACCAGCGACACUGGAACUGAGACACGGUCCAGACUCCUACGGAAGGAAGCAGUGGGGAAUAUUGCACAAUGGGCGCAAGCCGGAUGCAGCCAGGCCGCGUGUAUGAAGAAGGCCUUCGGGUUGUAAAGUACUUUCAGCGAGGAGGCGUUACUCGCAGAAGAAGCACCGGCUAACUCCGUGCCAGCAGCCGCGGUAAUUC